rnacentral:tRNA from 1 species
GCCCGGAUAGCUCAGUCGGUAGAGCAUGAGACUUUUAAUCUGAGGGUCCAGGGUUCAAAUCCCUGUUCGCGCG